UUCGGCUGUAUCCUGGCCUGGGGGCGAUCUGAAACAUAAAGAAAACAAGUUGAGGAACGUUUUACUUUUACUCGCGGCUUCAGUUUGAAAGGUCGUCUUGUUUGUCUAACUUGAGAGCUUAUUUAAGAAAAUUUCUUUCAGAUAAACUCGACGCAAUUGGUGUGAGAUUAAAUUUGCAAGAUAUGUUAAAUGUAUUGCAUAUCUAGUACUUCUGUUUUUUAUGGUUAAUUGCUCUGUUGACGGGUAAUGAUAAAGCGUAUGCAUUAAUUAUAGACGAGACUAGUCGUUACCGAAUUACACAAAAGUACAAAUUAGUGAGUGUUAUAAAUAAAUCUAACCCCAAUCCGAAUCCAAGCUGUUGAUAAAAAUAUGCAAUGAAUCUAUCGGAACUCAUAAAGGCCUAAAGUUAAGUUAAAAGUUAAAGCCUAAGCCGGAAGAGGCAAUUUUAAUAGCAAAUGAACUGCUAAUUAUUUCCUAAAAGUAAUAUCUAACUGUGAUAUUAGUAAGUAAAUACCUAAAUCCCGGGAUCCGAUAUUUUUAUUUUUAAAGUUCUUUGUUUACCUCUUUUAUGCUUAUUUGUAUUUUGGAGUUUGAAUAAAUAAAUUAUU